rnacentral:rRNA from 1 species
UGAAAUGGAUUUUUCCGCCUAAAGAAAAGCUCGCGGCUGAUUAGCUAGUUGGUAAGGUAAUGGCUUACCAAGGCGACGAUCAGUAUCUGGUUUGAGAGGACGAUCAGACACACUGGAACUGAGACACGGUCCAGACUCCUACGGGAGGCAGCAGUGGGGAAUUUUCCGCAAUGGGCGAAAGCCUGACGGAGCAAUACCGCGUGAGGGAAGACAGCCUACUGGGUUGUAAACCUCUUUUUUCAGGGAGGAAAAAAAUGACGUGUACCUGAAGAAUAAGCAUCGGCUAACUCCGUGCCAGCAGCCGCGGUAAGACGGAGGAUGCAAGUGUUAUCCGGAAUUACUGGGCGUAAAGCGUCUGUAGGUUGUUUAAUAAGUCAACUGUUAAAUCUUGAGUUAACUUCAAAACAGCAGUCGAAACUAUUAGACUAGAGUAUAGUAGGUAAAGGGAAUUUCCAGUGGAGCGGUGAAAUGCGUAGAUAUUGGAAAGCACCGAUGGCGAAAGCACUUUACUGGGCUAUUACUGACACUCAGAGACAAGCUAG